rnacentral:rRNA from 1 species
UACGGAGGGGGCUAGCGUUGUUCGGAAUUACUGGGCGUAAAGCGCGCGUAGGCGGCUUUGUAAGUUAGAGGUGAAAGCCCGGAGCUCAACUCCGGAACUGCCUUUAAGACUGCAUCGCUAGAACGAUGGAGAGGUAAGUGGAAUUCCGAGUGUAGAGGUGAAAUUCGUAGAUAUUCGGAAGAACACCAGUGGCGAAGGCGGCUCUCUGGGACGGUACUGACGCUGAGACGCGAAAGCGUGGGGAGCGAACAGG